rnacentral:rRNA from 1 species
UACGAAGGGGGCUAGCGUUGUUCGGAAUCACUGGGCGUAAAGCGCACGUAGGCGGACUUUCAAGUCAGGGGUGAAAUCCCGGGGCUCAACCUCGGAAUUGCCUUUGAUACUGUAGGUCUCGAGUCCGGAAGAGGUGGGUGGAAUUCCUAGUGUAGAGGUGAAAUUCGUAGAUAUUAGGAAGAACACCGGUGGCGAAGGCGGCCCACUGGUCCGGUACUGACGCUGAGGUGCGAAAGCGUGGGAGCAAACAGGAUUGAGAAACCCUUGG